rnacentral:ncRNA from 1 species
AAUACCCGGUGUUGCAGGGAAAUAAAUGCGACAGCAUCACAACCGCAGAGUGGCUGCGGAAAUAAAAAUUAAAUCUAUGAUGGCAAAGAAAAGGAGAAC